UCCUGGCUCAGAUUAAACGCUGGCGGCAUGCCUUACACAUGCAAGUCGAACGGCAGCACGGGGCAACCUGGUGGCGAGUGGCGAACGGGUGAGUAAAGCAUCGGAACGUGCCCUGGAGUGGGGAUAACGUAGCGAAAGUUACGCUAAUACCGCAUAUUCUGUGAGCAGGAAAGCAGGGGAUCGCAAGACCUUGCGCUCUGGGAGCGGCCGAUGUCGGAUUAGCUAGUUGGUGGGGUAAAGGCCUACCAAGGCGACGAUCCGUAGCGGGUCUGAGAGGAUGAUCCGCCACACUGGGACUGAGACACGGCCCAGACUCCUACGGGAGGCAGCAGUGGGGAAUUUUGGACAAUGGGCGGAAGCCUGAUCCAGCCAUGCCGCGUGAGUGAAGAAGGCCUUCGGGUUGUAAAGCUCUUUCGGCCGGGAAGAAAUCGCAUGGGUCAAUACCCUGUGUGGAUGACGGUACCGGAAUAAGAAGCACCGGCUAACUACGUGCCAGCAGCCGCGGUAAUACG
rnacentral:rRNA from 1 species